rnacentral:lncRNA from 1 species
AAAAGAGGGACGAAAGAUACCAAAGGGACAGUCAAACUCAUAAAUCUAAAACAAACUGACAACGCCAUGGCUAAAAAUGAAAAAAAGACAAACAGAAAAACAAUAGUACACAUGACACAACAUAGAAAACUAAAGAAUAAACAACACGAACUCCACCAAAAACUAGGGGUGAUCUCAGGUGCUCCGGAAGGGUAAGCAGAUCCUGCUCCACAUGUGGCACCCGUCGUGUUGCUUAUGUGAUUACAAAUCCGGUAAAUAGUCUAAUUCGGUAGGUCACAUUCAUGAAAGGGAAGGGGAUUGUAGUUACGAAGUAAGAAACAUAUCCGAUAUCAUUUGUGAAACGGUUAUUCCAUAACGGUCAAC